rnacentral:rRNA from 1 species
AUUGAACGCUGGCGGCAGGCCUAACACAUGCAAGUCGAGCGAGCGGCGGACGGGUGAGUAAUGUCUGGGAAACUGCCUGAUGGAGGGGGAUAACUACUGGAAACGGUAGCUAAUACCGAAAACAAUCAGAUGUGCCCAGGUGGGAUUAGCUAGUAGGUGGGGUAACGGCUCACCUAGGGGACGAUCCCUAGCGGGUCUGAGAGGAUGACCAGCCACACUGGAACUGAGACACCGUCCAGACUCCUACGGGAGGCAGCAGUGGGGAAUAUUGCACAAUGGGCGCAAGCCUGAUGCAGCCAUGCCGCGUGUGUGAAGAAGGCCUUCGGGUUGUAAAGCACUUUCAGCGGGGAGGCGUUACCCGCAGAAGAAGCACCGGCUAACUCCGUGCCAGCCGCCGCGGUAAUAC